rfam:Triticum aestivum genome assembly, contig: Triticum_aestivum_CS42_TGACv1_scaffold_052557_1BS
UUUGUACUCCUUCCAUCCCAAAAUUCUUUUCUUAAAUUUGUUUAAAUACGGAUGUAUCUAGUUACAUUUUAGUGUUAGCUACAUCCGUAUCUAAACAAAUGUAAGACAAGAAUUUUGGGACGGAGGGAAUACUAC